rfam:Cavia porcellus strain inbred line 2N cont2.42389, whole genome shotgun sequence.
CCCAGGUCUGUGCCCUGCAGGGCCAGGAGCAUCAGGGUCUCCCGCGUGGGGGACGACAUCCCUGUUUAAUAUUUAAACAGCAGUGUUCCCA